rnacentral:tRNA from 1 species
AUCAGCUAAAGCCAACUAACUGAGGCGCCCAACUGUUACUUGGGGAAAAGGGGCUAACCCCUAGCUGACU